rnacentral:rRNA from 1 species
GGUUGACCUCGGAUCGGGUAGGGAUACCCGCUGAACUUAAGCAUAUCA